rnacentral:rRNA from 1 species
CGACCGGCGCACGGGUGCGUAACGCGUAUGCAACCUACCUUUAACAGGGGGAUAGCCCGAAGAAAAUUCGGAUUAAUACCUCAUAAAAUAAAUAAGUGGCAUCACUUUGUUUAUUAAAGCUCCGGCGGUUAAAGAUGGGCAUGCGUGACAUUAGCUAGUUGGUAAGGUAACGGCUUACCAAGGCUACGAUGUCUAGGGGUUCUGAGAGGAUGAUCCCCCACACUGGUACUGAGACACGGACCAGACUCCUACGGGAGGCAGCAGUAAGGAAUAUUGGUCAAUGGGCGCAAGCCUGAACCAGCCAUGCCGCGUGCAGGAAGACGGCCUUAUGGGUUGUAAACUGCUUUUAUAUAGGAAUAACUCCCCGAACGUGUUCGGGGCUGAAGGUACUAUACGAAUAAGGACCGGCUAACUCCGUGCCAGCAGCCGCGGUAAUACGGAGGGUCCAAGCGUUAUCCGGAUUUAUUGGGUUUAAAGGGUGCGCAGGCGGACCUAUCAGUCAGUGGUGAAAUCCCGGGGCUCAACUCCGGAACUGCCAUUGAUACUGUAGGUCUUGAGUUUGGUUGAAGUGGGCGGAAUGUAGCAUGUAGCGGUGAAAUGCAUAGAUAUGCUACAGAACACCGAUCGCGAAGGCAGCUCACUAAGCCAAGACUGACGCUCAGGCACGAAAGCGUGGGUAG